rnacentral:misc_RNA from 1 species
GAUCCAUACCAAGACGAAGCCCCACCAGAAGCCCUAUCCGGCUUUCUCGAAGAAGCAUCAGCAAGAGCCCUGUGAGGAAUACCCGGAAAAGCCCUGCUAAAAGUCCCGUACGCUCCACUAGAAGAAGUGCUAGUCGUAGCCCUGCAAGGAGCGCUUCAAGGAGUGCUUCCCCUGAUGGGUCACCCAAACGCAUCCGAAGGGGUCGAGGUUUCAGC